UUAACUGAAGUAAAUUCUCAUGUGUCUGAAAAUAAGAAUGGAAGCUCCAGUGCUGGAACCAGGCACCCAGGACCUAAAGACACCAUUGUGUAUACAAGGACAUAUGUGGAGAAUAGUAAAUCACCAAAGAAAGAAUACCAGGAGAAUAUCUCCGGAAAAUAUAUACAAACUGUUUACUCAACUUCAGAUAGGUCUGUCAUUGAAAGAGAUAUGUGCACUUACUGCCGCAAACCCUUGGGUGU
rnacentral:lncRNA from 1 species